rnacentral:rRNA from 1 species
CGCGUAGGCGGAUGAGCAAGUCAGAUGUGAAAUUCCAAAGCUCAACUUUGGAGCUGCAUUUGAAACUGCUUAUCUUGAGGGGAGACGGAGAAAACGGAAUUCCACGUGUAGCGGUGAAAUGCGUAGAUAUGUGGAAGAACACCGGUGGCGAAAGCGGUUUUCUAGUUUUUACCAGACGCUGAGGCGCGAGAGGCAAGGGAGCAAACA